UACAGAGGUCCCAAGCGUUGUUCGGAUUUACUGGGCGUAAAGGGUGCGUAGGUGGCCAUGCGUGUCUUCCGUGAAAUCCCUCGGCUUAACUGAGGACGUGCGGAAGAAACUGCAAGGCUUGAGUCCGGGAGAGGGGGGUGGAAUUCCCAGUGUAGCGGUGAAAUGCGUAGAUAUUGGGAGGAACACCGGUGGCGAAGGCGGCCCCCUGGACCGGUACUGACGCUGAGGCGCGAAAGCGUGGGUAGCAAACGGG
rnacentral:rRNA from 1 species